rnacentral:rRNA from 1 species
GUUGUCCGGAAUUAUUGGGCGUAAAGAGCUCGUAGGCGGUUUGUCGCGUCGGCCGUGAAAACUUGGGGCUUAACCCCAAGCCUGCGGUCGAUACGGGCAGACUUGAGUUCGGCAGGGGAGACUGGAAUUCCUGGUGUAGCGGUGAAAUGCGCAGAUAUCAGGAGGAACACCGGUGGCGAAGGCGGGUCUCUGGGCCGAUACUGACGCUGAGGAGCGAAAGCGUGGGGAGCGAACAGG